rnacentral:rRNA from 1 species
UACGGGGGGGGCAAGCGUUGUUCGGAAUUACUGGGCGUAAAGGGCUCGUAGGCGGCCAACUAAGUCGAACGUGAAAUCCCUCAGCUUAACUGGGGAACUGCGUCCGAUACUGCUAUGGCUAGAGUCUGGUAGAGGAGAACGGAAUUCCCGGUGUAGCGGUGGAAUGCGCAGAUAUCGGGAGGAACACCCGUAGCGAAGGCGGUUCUCUGGGCCAGUACUGACGCUGAGGAGCGAAAGCGUGGGGAGCAAACAGG